rnacentral:rRNA from 1 species
CCCAAAAUUGAGCCUACUCAUAGUUUAUAGAAACCACUAAUUAUAAAAAACUAAACAAAACAUUUACAUUUUCCAGUAAAGGUGAUUGAAAACAAUAUUAGAGCCAUAAAGUACCGCAAGGGAAAAAUGAAAUAAAAUGAAAAACCUAAAGCCAACUAUAUCAGAGAUUACAACUCGUAC